AUGAACAAAAGCAAGGAGGUGAAACUUCGGCUGACUGACAGAAUAAGUGCAAUAGAGCAGUGGAGGGCAGAGCCAUUUGGCUCUAUUGUAGCAUUUUCUUCAGAGGCAGCCAGAACAACUCAUUGCCUCACUACAACACCCCCUUCAAACCAGUUGCUCUGGAGAAUUCCCAAGGACUUCAAGACAUCCGUGAACACUGAACUUGUGAAAAUAGAAAAUAUAUUUAAACUAUUAUUAAACAUUACAAAACUUCGUAAUGGCGAAACCGCUCUCGAGAUCCUCUAGCGUGACCUCAUCAGCCAGGAGGGGAUGUCCUCAGACAACUAUAAGAUCUGGGAGAUCGUGUUCGGCGGUGCCUGGAGGUGGAGGGGAAAGUUGGUCAGUAGGACAGAGGGUAACACUGAUAACUUGUUAGUUGGUGGAAAUGCCUCUGCUGAAGGCUCCGAGGUUGAAAGUACCGAAAGCGCAGUCAUCACUGCUGUUGAUAUUGUCCUGAACCAUCCCUUUCAGGAAACCAGCUUCACAAAAGAAGCCUACAGGCACUACAUCAAAGAUGUAAUCAAUCAAAGGCAAACUUGAAGAACAGAGGCUUCUAUGACAGGAACUGCAGAACACAACAAGCACAGCCUCGCUAAUUUCGAAAACUACCAGUUCUUUAUUGGAGAGAACAUGAAUCUAGAUGGCAUAGUUGCUCUGCUGGACUACCUUGAGGAUGGAGUGACCCCAUAUAUGAUUUUCUUUAAGGAUGGUUUAGAAAUGGAAAAAAUGUUAACAAUUUGGCCAUUACUUUGGAUGUAUCACCUGUUGUCAUAACUGACUGCUACUCUUCAUCCACACAACACCAGGACUUAGACAAAUGGGACUGAUGUCAUCUUCAGCUCUUCAUUUAUUUUGACCUUGAUUUAUGUGGAGCAAAGGCAUUUUUGUUAAGAAAAAAACAUGUCACAUAGGUUGUCUAAAAAUAAAAUGCAUUUAAACUCAUUUGA